rnacentral:tRNA from 5 species
GGUGAGGUGGCAGAGCGGUUAUGCGUUCGCCUGCAAAGCGAAUUUUAUAGGGGUUCGAAUCCCUUCCUCACCU